AGUGAACGCUGGCGGUAGGCUUAACACAUGCAAGUCGAACGGCAGCACAGUAAGAGCUUGCUCUGACGGGUGGGGAGGGCCGGACGGGUGAGGAAUACAUCGGAACCUACUUUUUCGUGGGGGAUAACGGAGGGAAACUUACGCUAAUACCGCAUACUACCUACGGGUGAAAGCAGGGGAUCUUCGGACCUUGCGCGAAUGAAUGGGCCGAUGUCGGAUUAGCUAGUUGGCGGGGUAAAGGCCGACCAAGGCGACGAUCCGUAGCUGGUCUGAGAGGAUGAUCGGCCACACUGGAACUGAGACACGGUCCAGACUCCUACGGGAGGCAGCAGUGGGGAAUAUUGGACAAUGGGCGCAAGCCUGAUCCAGCCAUACCGCGUGGGUGAAGAAGGCCUUCGGGUUGUAAAGCUCUUUUGUUGGGAAAGAAAAGCAGCAGGUUAAUACGUCGCUGUUCUGACGGUACCCAAAGAAUAAGCACCGGCUAACUUCGUG
rnacentral:rRNA from 1 species